rnacentral:rRNA from 1 species
CCUACGGGUGGCAGCAGUGAGGAAUAUUGGUCAAUGGCCGCAAGCCUGAACCAGCCAAGUAGCGUGAGGGAAGACUGCCCUAUGGGUUGUAAACCUCUUUUAUGCGGGGAUAAAGGUGUCCACGUGUGGAUGUUUGCAGGUACCGCAUGAAUAAGGACCGGCUAAUUCCGUGCCAGCAGCCGCGGUAAUACGGAGGGUCCGGGCGUUAUCCGGAUUUAUUGGGUUUAAAGGGAGCGUAGAUGGGUUGUUAAGUCAGUUGUGAAAGUUUGCGGCUCAACCGUAAAAUUGCAAUUGAUACUGGCAGUCUUGAGUACAGGUGAGGUAGGCGGAAUGCGUGGUGUAGCGGUGAAAUGCUUAGAUAUCACGAAGAACCCCGAUUGCGAAGGCAGCAUACUAGACUGUGACUGACAUUGAUGCUCGAAAGUGUGGGUAUCAAACAGGAUUAGAUACCCUUGUAGUC